ensembl:lncRNA
UGUUACUUAUGCCCAGGAAUGGAGAGACGUUAGCAAAGGGGAGGAUGAAGAUUUUUGCAGAGAAGAGCUGUGGAGCAGUGCAAAGCAGUGGAUCACAUACAUUAUGGCAACUGAUUUAUCGAUUCUCUUCCCUCGCAUGCUAAGGUUGGAUGACUGCAAAGUGGUGGAUCUGUAACAAGUUCAGUGUACGGAGUAACAGAAUAAUGCUCAAUGGAAGGAGGUCUCCAGGGAAUUGCCACAAAGCUUCCCAUACAGUCUAUAGUCUUGGAAGAAAAUGGUCUGCUUGUUUCACUCAUUCAAGAUAGAAAGCUCUCAUGGAUAAUAAAUGUGUGGGUCGGAUUCAAAACCAAAUAAAAAUCUCGGCAGUCUGAAAUAUUGGUCUAAUCCCCCAACAAUGAAACUUAAUCAGUUUCAUAUCAAGUCCUGCAUUUGAAUUCUGCACCAGAAUAGCACUAUUGAAC